GCGCUUGUAGCUCAGAUGGAUAGAGUGCAACCCUCCGAAGGUUGAGGUCAUGCGUUCGACUCGCAUCAAGCGCGCCA
rnacentral:tRNA from 1 species